UGCUCUACGCUGCCAAUGCCAGUGGUGAGGCUGUGCUUUCUGAAUGAGAAGGUAUCAGGCAGGGGAGGCCCAGUUCUACUCUCUCAAACCCCUGUCUGUCCCUGCGUGGGAUUUGCAGGUGUCAUUUGGGGGUGUGGACAUGGCACGUGGCCUGUACACCUGUAGCUCCCUCAGUCCUCCGUCAGGUCAACGGUCUUCUGUUGGGUGCUGUCACACUGCCCAACAUCCUCCUCACAGGACAGACAGGAAUUGUGGGAGAGCCUCCCUACGUCACAAUAGACUACAACUUUGAGCUAACCGGGGCUGGGAAGAUUCACGUCUUCAAGGGGCUUGCAAGACCUGACCAGAUGAAUAACGCAAAGUGAUUGUUUUUGUGAGAAGAGACUAUGGUUUCACAGCAAGAAAUCUGAAAUCGGAAUAUUUUUUACCUUCCUUGUUUACUGACUUCAAACACCAAGGCCAGAGUCUCUCUUUCCCUUGCUUUCUCUUAUCGCUCCUGUUUCAUCAGAAGUUCAAAUCAAAUUGUAUUUGUCACAUACAUGGUUAGCAGAUGUUAAUGCGAGUGUAGCGAAAUGCUUGUGCUUCUAGUUCCGACAAUGCAGUA